CCUACGGGAGGCUGCAGUCGAGAAUUUUUCACAAUGGGCGCAAGCCUGAUGGAGCGACGCCGCGUGGGGGAUGAAUGGCUUCGGCCCGUAAACCCCUGUCAUUUGCGAUCAAACCUUGGUAUUUAAAAGAUGCCGAGCUGAUAGUAGCGAAAGAGGAAGGGACGGCUAACUCUGUGCCAGCAGCCGCGGUAAUACAGAGGUCCAGAGCGUUGUUCGGAUUCACUGGGCGUAAAGGGUGCGUAGGUGGUGACGUAAGUCGGAUGUGAAAUCUCGGAGCUCAACUCCGAAACGGCAUUGGAAACUGCGUUGCUAGAGGGUUGGAGGGGGACUGGAAUGCUUGGUGUAGCAGUGAAAUGCGUAGAUAUCAAGCGGAACACCAGUGGCGAAGGCGAGUCCCUGGACAACACCUGACACUGAGGCACGAAAGCUAGGGGAGCAAA
rnacentral:rRNA from 1 species